rnacentral:rRNA from 1 species
GAUGAACGCUGGCGGCGUGCUUAACACAUGCCAGUCGAACGAUGGAGCCCAGCUUGCUUGCUGGAUUAGUGGGGAACGGGCGAGUGAGACGUGAGUAAGUUGCCCACAUGCCUUUCAUAAGGCUGUGAAACGGGGACUAAUACCGGAUAGCAGCGUGCACCGCAUUGUGGGUGUUGGAAAGAUUUAUCGGGUUUGGAUGGACUCGCGGGCUAUCAGCUUGUUUGUGGGGUAAUGGAUCAGCAAGGCGACGACGGGUAGCCGGCCCGAGAGGGUGACCGGCCCCACUGGGAGUGAGCUACGGGCCGGACCACUAAGGGAGGCAGCAGUGGGGAAUAUUGCCCAAUGCGCGCAAGUAUGAUGCAGCGACGCCGCGUGAGGGAUGACGGACUUCGGGUUGUAAACCUCUUUCUGUCGGGCAGAAGCGAUAGUGCCGGUACCUGAAGAAGAAGCACCGGCUAACUCCGUG